UGGGGAAUAUUGCGCAAUGGGGGGAACCCUGACGCAGCCAUGUCGCGUGAAUGAAGAAGGCCUUCGGGUUGUAAAGUUCUUUCGGUAUUGAGGAAGGUUGAUGUGUUAAUAGCACAUCAAAUUGACGUUAAAUACCAGAAGAAGCACCGGCUAACUCCGCGCCAGCAGCCGCGGUAAUACGGAGGGUGCGAGCGUUAAUCGGAAUAACUGGGCGUAAAGGGCACGCAGGCGGUUAUUUAAGUGAGGUGUGNNGAAAGCCCCGGGCUUAACCUGGGAAUUGCAUUUCAGACUGGGUAACUAGAGUACUUUAGGGAGGGGUAGAAUUCCACGUGUAGCGGUGAAAUGCGUAGAGAUGUGGAGGAAUACCGAAGGCGAAGGCAGCCCCUUGGGAAUGUACUGACGCUCAUGUGCGAAAGCGUGGGGAGCAAACAGGAUUAGAUACCCUGGUAGUCCACGCUGUAAACGCUGUCGAUUUGGGGGUUGGGGUUUAACUCUGGCGCCCGUAGCUAACGUGAUAAAUCGACCGCCUGGGGAGUACGGCCGCAAGGUUA
rnacentral:rRNA from 1 species